CACUGAACGAAAAGUUACAAAUAACUGGCAUUAUGAUGAAACAGGAUCAUUUACGAAUGCUUUGUCUCCUGCUUGUUUUCUUUGCUUUGCUCGUUUCAGACGUUGAUGGUCGAACCGGACAUCGGGCCGCACACUAUAAUUACGGUUCGUAUAGUGGAGCUCCGGGAUUGGCCAGCUCAUAUGGAGGGUUGUUCCUCGGGAUUGUCAGCGUAAUACUUGGGAUGGCAAUAUGUAUGCUGUACUUGCCGCCAAGAGUACAGAUCAAUCACACGUAAAGGUCCGAUGGAAAGCAAAUUGCCCAGCACAUGUAACAAUAACUCCCGAUAAACAUUUAUUCUUCCUGUGAAUCUUUCUUCAAUUAGUAUUUUUGCAUGUUUAUUA